rnacentral:rRNA from 1 species
UUUGGAGAAAAUUGAUCCUGGCUCAGGACGAACGCUGGCGGCGUGCCUAAUACAUGCAAGUCGAGCGGACAGAUGGGAGCUUGCUCCCUGAUGUUAGCGGCGGACGGGUGAGUAACACGUGGGUAACCUGCCUGUAAGACUGGGAUAACUCCGGGAAACCGGGGCUAAUACCGGAUGCUUGUUUGAACCGCAUGGUUCAAACAUAAAAGGUGGCUUCGGCUACCACUUACAGAUGGACCCGCGGCGCAUUAGCUAGUUGGUGAGGUAAUGGCUCACCAAGGCAACGAUGCGUAGCCGACCUGAGAGGGUGAUCGGCCACACUGGGACUGAGACACGGCCCAGACUCCUACCCCCCGCCCGCAGUAGGGAAUCUUCCGCAAUGGACGAAAGUCUGACGGAGCAACGCCGCGUGAGUGAUGAAGGUUUUCGGAUCGUAAAGCUCUGUUGUUAGGGAAGAACAAGUACCGUUCGAAUAGGGCGGUACCUCGACGG